GACGAACCGUGCGAACGUUGUUCGGAAUCACUGGGCUUAAAGGGCGCGUAGGCGGGCGGCCAAGUCAGGGGUGAAAUCUUUCGGCUCAACCGGAAAAGUGCCUCUGAUACUGGUCGCCUCGAGGGAGGUAGGGGUCUGCGGAACUUCCGGUGGAGCGGUGAAAUGCUUAGAUAUGACACAGAACACCGAUUGCGAAGGCAGCUAACUAAGUCAUAACUGACGCUGAUGCACGAAAGCGUGGGGAGCAAACAGG
rnacentral:rRNA from 1 species